UUCAUAAUGCAGAACUUCAGUCCUAUUCCAGAAGGCUCUCUUCUAGCAGAAUCUGCAGGGCAUUGAUUAUAUACCCGAUGAGCCAUAGAAUCAUCAAGACCCAGGCCAGCUCCACUCGGAGUUGCUCCAUACUCUGCAUGGUCCACUCUUCUAUCUCCUUCUGUUUCCCACUUAGGUAUUCGGAGCACCAUUCAGGCUGAUGCUCAUGCUGCUACUGAACUGCCCCAGACACUGGUGUCAUCUCCAUUACCUGAAGAGGACAAUGAAAUGUCUCCUUUAUCUUUAUCCUGCUUCUGUGUAGCAGAGUCUCAAAUGAAUACAGACUUCAGGGUCGUGGCUCUUUGAGAAUGUCACACAGCACUUUAUGCCCACAGCAUACAAUGCUUCCAGAAAGUCUAGGUCAAGGCAGCCGGACAGUACCAGGAGCCUCAGGCCCUGUCGCUGAAGCUGCCCCAUCGUGCCACACUUCACAACUUCCAAAGGUAGAGUUCUCUCUGAAAACUCACAAUCUUGCCAUCUGUCUCCAUUCUCAUAUCUCAAUCUAUUCAGCUUAUCAGUCUCCAUGUGCCACUUUCCCAUGAGGCAUUUCAACAUCCAUGUAAAUCAGAAGUGAUGCAUAAACUAGGUGUCAGGAGCAUAGGGGAGCACAAGGCAUUAUCUAUUUCUGUGAGCCAUGCUUAACAUACAGCUACUCAGUACCAAAGAACUCAGUCGCUACAAUAUAGAGAUAAUUACAAACAAAUGAGUGACAUCAACGAGAUCUAAGUUGUCAUAAAUACAAUUUCAUAUUUUUUUAUGAAUGAAAAAAUAUUUAUCUUUUUUCAAAAAUUCACUUGGAAAUUAUUUUCAUGAUAUAGUACCAUGAUCAUGAUUUUAUCAUACUCUCCAACAACAUCAAUAAGAAAAACCAGCUCAGGGCAGGCCCUGUGGCAUAGUGGUUAAGUCCAGCACACUCUGCUUUGGCAGCCCAGGUUCACAAUUUUGGAUCCUGGGCAUGGACCUACACCACUCGUCAAGCCACACUUUGGUGGUGAUCCACAUACAAAAUAGAUGAAGAUUAGCAAGGUGUUAGCUCAGAGUAAAUUUUCCUCAACGAAAAAAAGAAAAGAAGGCUCUCAAGCUCUGAAGCUUUUCCUAUACUCUGCUCUUCUCCCCCAAGGCCCUAACAUUCCACACACAUUCCAUGGUUGCCAGGAUGCUCUGCUUUAUUCAGCAUUACAUCACCAGAUGCUAGGAACAUAUCUGGAGUAGAGUGGACUUUUGUGACUCUGAAGUUUGGCCCAGUGUAGUCACAGUCGAUUGCUAGCAAUAUUCAGAUUGAAUCCAGAGAAGUCAACUGCAGAGAUUUGGACCAAGCAAACCCCAUCUGAACAUUAACAGUCAAGAUUAUUGGGUCUAGAGAGGGCAAAAUCUUCUUUCCUGACUUAUUCUAUCUUCAAGAGCUAAAUUUAUUUUUUAAUGUGCUAUUAAUUAUAUAAUGAUACUUCAUGGUGUUAAGAGGUAAAAUCAUAAUAUAAAAUCUCAGGCAAAUAAAAUGAAAAAAAAUAGUUGAAGGCAGAAAAAAACUAAGUAAAUAAUAAAAACAUG
ensembl:lncRNA